rnacentral:rRNA from 1 species
AGGGAAUCUUCCGCAAUGGGCGAAAGCCUGACGGAGCAACGCCGCGUGAGUGAUGAAGGUUUUCGGAUCGUAAAGCUCUGUUGCCAGGGAAGAACGUCCUGUAGAGUAACUGCUACAGGAGUGACGGUACCUGAGAAGAAAGCCCCGGCUAACUACGUGCCAGCAGCCGCGGUAAUACGUAGGGGGCAAGCGUUGUCCGGAAUUAUUGGGCGUAAAGCGCGCGCAGGCGGCUGUUUAAGUCUGGGUUAUAAUCCUGGGGCUCAACUCCGGGUCGCACUGGAAACUGGAUGGCUUGAGUGCAGAAGAGGAGAGUGGAAUUCCACGUGUAGCGGUGAAAUGCGUAGAGAUGUGGAGGAACACCAGUGGCGAAGGCGACUCUCUGGGCUGUAACUGACGCUGAGGCGCGAAAGCGUGGGGAGCAAAC